GAAUUAGUCUAGGUCUUCGUCUAGCUAAAAAGUUGUUUACAGUUGAUGGAAUAGGACAGAAGUUUAAACCUUUACUUAGAAAAAGAUUCCUCAGCACGUAUGAAAAUAGACACAAACUGUUAAAUCAAGCCCAGCCGUUUGUACUCUACUCGCAGAGACACACAAUCAGUACUAAGGAUUAGGACGAAGGUUUGAUUAGAACGAAGGUUUAACAAGCAUGGAAGUAUAAUGAAAAGGAAGAUUACAUUACAUAUAGACAAAAGGUUGAACUAUGUCCUGGAACAUUUCAAAACAGCAGAGAAGGAAACACGAAAUACUGAGCAUAAUGUUGACGCCGUCACUGACGAUGAUGGAAUAUAGGAUUGUUAUGUCUCGCUUCCGCUACAUAAAUGUUGCAGGCUGAUCAAAGGAAAAGGUAAUAUCUGUACAUUUACAUUACUGACAUGAAUUGUGUCUAUGUUGAAUCCCAGCUGAUUAUCAUAUGAGUAAAAUAAACGCUCAAAUUAAUGGCUUUCUCAUCUAUGGAAUGAGACAAUAAACUGUCUUAAAUUGGUAUAAAUCAAAUCUGGGUUUGGCAACCAAUUUGAGUCGAAGAAUUCCUGUAAACCCUUAUGGAACCCUGUUUAGAAGAUAUAAACAACA